UAACACGUAUCCAACCUGCCGAUGACUCGGGGAUAGCCUUUCGAAAGAAAGAUUAAUACCCGAUGGCAUAGUUCUUCCGCAUGGUAGAACUAUUAAAGAAUUUCGGUCAUCGAUGGGGAUGCGUUCCAUUAGGUUGUUGGCGGGUAACGGCCCACCAAGCCUUCGAUGGAUAGGGGUUCUGAGAGGAAGGUCCCCCACAUUGGAACUGAGACACGGUCCAAACUCCUACGGGAGGCAGCAUG
rnacentral:rRNA from 1 species